UAUGUUUUAAGCAUCUCCUUCGAUUACCUGAUAUCAAGUUCGAUUACCAGAUUAUUCUAUCGAGACUUAGAGAGAGAUGAGUUUUGGUUUAAGAUAAAUGGGAUUGAUAUGAAAUUCAGUCCAUUCGAGUUUGCACUAAUGACGGGGUUACUAUUUAGUCAAAUCACUGUAUUUUCAUUAUAUAUUUCAUGUAGAUCUAGACAUAGGAUUAGAGAUACAUAUUCUCAGAGAUGUCAAAAGGUGUAGUAUCAUGAUGUAGAGUGUGUUUUCUUGGCUAGCCCUAGAGGGAUGAUGAUAUUGACACUGUCAAAAUGGUCUUGUUCUAUUGUUUGCAUAUGGUGUUACUGGGGGAUAAUCGACAAAAGAAGGUAUCUGUAAAGUACCUCUAAUUGAUUGAUCACUUAGAGGUUAAUUCCUACCCCUAGGGUGUUCCAGUGUGAUAGAAGAUGUUCGAAUUGAUGUAUCAGGUGAGUGACAAAGCCUUCUCUAGCCAAAUGUCUGGCAUCCAUAAAUAUGACAUCUACAAAUUUCCCGUUGCAUUUCAGGUAAGCGUAUAUUUGUUAAUUAUCUAUAUUGAUUAGUAAAAACAAAAAUUAAUUAUAUUUAACCAUUAAUGUUUAUAUUGUAGUAUUGGAUAUAUAAGACGAUCGACACCUUAUAUAAUUGGGUGGAUUUGGUUUAUGUCUAUGCGUCUCCAUGGAUAUUCAAGUGGCAUAUGUGAGAUGUUUUUGGUUAAAGUCACAUGGGAACUGUUUUCACCAGUGAUAAGGGUAAUCAAGAUGGUGUUGGGAGGGUCUCACCCAUUGACCUUUCGAUUCUAUCAUGUCUCCUAAAUGAGGAUACUGCCAUAAGAGGGUCUUGAUUAGCUCUUUAGUUACAUCACCUCCCUCAUUCGAGGGUACUGGUUAUAAAGGUGUUUCAGUUGACUCUUCGGUUGCAUCACUUCCGCCAUUUAAGGGUACUGGACAUGAAGGGGUAUUGAUUGAGACUUCUCCCCGUACACUUUCCUCGACCGUAAAGGUAGCAUAUUUUUCUAUGAAAUAUCAUUAAUCAAUUUGUUAUUAAUAUUAUUAUAUAUAUUUAAAAUAUAUUUUUUCUACUUUUCAAGAUGAGUAGUUGUGAUUAAUUGUUGAUAUCCCCAGCUGUAGUAACAGGGUAAUUAAAAUUAGUUCACAGGGGAAUGAGCUAUUGAAGGUUAUUUCACAUAAGGAGUAGGAUGAGAUAUAUCCAUUAUAAUUUGUAUAUUUUCAAUAUAUAUUGAUCAUUGGUAAUAUAAAAUAAGUUUUGCAGUCUAUCAAAAGGGUACGGAUGGUUGACUUGACAAUAAUAGAGGAUUCUCCUACCAAACCUCUUUCGUUGUACAUCAAUAAAGUAACAUUAACACAUUUGAUCAUAAUUGAUAAUUAAGAUUAAAUAUUGAAUUAACAAUUUUAUGUUAUUUUUCAGUUAGUGUGGACUGCUUAUGGUAAGGUUAUCUGGAAAUGUUUGCUCAUUUGCACCCCGUAUAUAAACCUAAUUAAACUGAGAGUAAAACGAAAAAUUCAGACCAUGCCAUCCUCUGCUGCAGAGCAUGAGGAAUCUUUUCUCAUGUGGUAACCGAAGUUAUAGCAUCGGACAACCAUGAGGUUUAUUUCAUUGGAGCUUAGUCUAAAGGUGCUUUUUGGAGGAUUGUUGUUGAGCUACGCGAGUGGCUCAUCGAUGAUGUAAGUUGCUAUAUUCAUUGAAUUUGUUUAAGUGUUUUAUAUAUUCGUCUAAAACUAAUACAAUUCAAGUUGUAUAUAUCUAUUUUAGCAUGUAGAUUCUUUUUUGGCACUAUUACAUUGGCACUAGUACAAGUAACAGGUCAUCGUUCCAUAAAGUAAGAUGAGGCCCACACCUUCUUCAUAGGGCAUAUCAGGAUGACAUUCGAUAGUUAGAGUGUAGCACCACUAAAGGAGUAAAAGUGGCCCGAGCUAUUCACAAAGAUGGUUAAGAUAUAUUAUACCUUCGGUUUAUUUUACAAACCAUGAGGAGAGGUCGAUAGGGUAUAGUAUAAUAGUAUUUCCAUUAUAAUUUAUUUUGAAUUAACUUAUAUGCAACAUGUGUAUCUAUUAUAACUUCUCAAUGUUUAUAGGUUUUCAUCCCUAUAAACUUCAACUGUGCCCAUUAGGUAGCCACAGUUAUAGAUUUCUGUGAUUAGUCGAUCAUAGUAUAUGACUCUAAGGUAUUGUACAUAAGGAGUUAUGAGGAGCUCGCACGACGGAUGUAACCCUACAAGAUAUUCAUACUAGCAUUAUUAGAGACGACAAGUUUUUGGACCACUUCUAGGCAUACACCAUAAGUAGAUCACCUGAUAUUACAUCGAGCAGAGGGUAUCCCCCCACAGGGUAAGGGUUCUAGUGAUUAUAGUAUUUUUAUGUUACGCUUUAUAGAGUGCAUGAUGUUGUCACAGAGCCUAGAUGUUUUCUUGAGAGCAUCUUUAUACGUCAGCAUUUAGCUUCGCAGUUGUAUUUUCACUGCAUUGAGAAGAUCACAAAUAUAUUUUUGUAUUUAUCAUUGUUUAUUUUACUGAUUUCUGAGUUGUUAUGUAUAUAUUUAUUGUA